rnacentral:rRNA from 1 species
GACGAACGCUGGCGGCGUGCUUAACACAUGCAAGUCGAACGGAAAGGCCCUGCUUUUGUGGGGUGCUCGAGUGGCGAACGGGUGAGUAACACGUGAGUAACCUGCCCUUGACUUUGGGAUAACUUCAGGAAACUGGGGCUAAUACCGGAUAGGAGCUCCUGCUGCAUGGUGGGGGUUGGAAAGUUUCGGCGGUUGGGGAUGGACUCGCGGCUUAUCAGCUUGUUGGUGGGGUAGUGGCUUACCAAGGCUUUGACGGGUAGCCGGCCUGAGAGGGUGACCGGCCACAUUGGGACUGAGAUACGGCCCAGACUCCUACGGGAGGCAGCAGUGGGGAAUACUGCACAAUGGGCGGAAGCCUGAUGCAGCAACGCCGCGUGCGGGAUGACGGCCUUCGGGUUGUAAACCGCUUUCGCCUGUGACGAAGCGUGAGUGACGGUAAUGGGUAAAGAAGCACCGGCUAACUACGUGCCAGCAGCCGCGGUGAUACGUAGGGUGCGAGCGUUGUCCGGAUUUAUUGGGCGUAAAGGGCUCGUAGGUGGUUGAUCGCGUCGGAAGUGUAAUCUUGGGGCUUAACCCUGAGCGUGCUUUCGAUACGGGUUGACUUGAGGAAGGUAGGGGAGAAUGGAAUUCCUGGUGGAGCGGUGGAAUGCGCAGAUAUCAGGAGGAACACCAGUGGCGAAGGCGGUUCUCUGGGCCUUUCCUGACGCUGAGGAGCGAAAGCGUGGGGAGCGAACAGGCUUAGAUACCCUGGUAGUCCACGCUGUAAACGGUGGGUACUAGGUGUGGGGUCCAUUCCACGGGUUCCGUGCCGUAGCUAACGCUUUAAGUACCCCGCCUGGGGAGUACGGCCGCAAGGCUAAAACUCAAAGGAAUUGACGGGGCCCCGCACAAGCGGCGGAGCAUGCGGAUUAAUUCGAUGCAACGCGUAGAACCUUACCUGGGUUUGACAUGGAUCGGGAGCGCUCAGAGAUGGGUGUGCCUCUUUUGGGGUCGGUUCACAGGUGGUGCAUGGCUGUCGUCAGCUCGUGUCGUGAGAUGUUGGGUUAAGUCCCGCAACGAGCGCAACCCUUGUUCACUGUUGCCAGCACGUUAUGGUGGGGACUCAGUGGAGACCGCCGGGGUCAACUCGGAGGAAGGUGGGGAUGACGUCAAGUCAUCAUGCCCCUUAUGUCCAGGGCUUCACGCAUGCUACAAUGGCUGGUACAGAGAGUGGCGAGCCUGUGAGGAUGAGCGAAUCUCGGAAAGCCGGUCUCAGUUCGGAUUGGGGUCUGCAACUCGACCUCAUGAAGUCGGAGUCGCUAGUAAUCGCAGAUCAGCAACGCUGCGGUGAAUACGUUCCCGGG